rnacentral:rRNA from 1 species
UACGAAGGGGGCUAGCGUUGCUCGGAAUUACUGGGCGUAAAGCGCACGUAGGCGGAUUGUUAAGUCGGGGUGAAAUCCUGGAGCUCAACUCCAGAACUGCCUUCGAUACUGGCGAUCUCGAGUUCGGGAGAGGUGAGUGGAACUGCGAGUGUAGAGGUGAAAUUCGUAGAUAUCGCAAGAACACCAGUGGCGAAGGCGGCUCACUGGCCCGAUACUGACGCUGAGGUGCGAAAGCGUGGGAGCAACA